UUAUCCAUUGGCAAGACUUGAUGCUCCAGUGAUACAUAUACUAGAACUGAAAUGAUGCAGAGAAGGUUGGCAUGGCCCUUGCCCAAAGCUGACAUGCAAAUUAUUCCUUAGCAGCACUUGAUA
ensembl:snRNA U6 U6 spliceosomal RNA